UACGAAGGGGGCUAGCGUUGCUCGGAAUCACUGGGCGUAAAGCGCACGUAGGCGGCUUUCUAAGUCAGGGGUGAAAUCCUGGAGCUCAACUCCAGAACUGCCUUUGAUACUGGAGAGCUAGAGUCCGGAAGAGGUGAGUGGAACUGCGAGUGUAGAGGUGAAAUUCGUAGAUAUUCGCAAGAACACCAGUGGCGAAGGCGGCUCACUGGCCCGAUACUGACGCUGAGGUGCGAAAGCG
rnacentral:rRNA from 1 species